AGUCGAACGUGAAAGCACUUCGGUGUGAGUAGAGUGGCGGACGGGUGAGUAACGCGUGGGAAUCUGCCCAGUAGUGGGGGACAACUACCGGAAACGGUAGCUAAUACCGCAUACGCCCUAUGGGGGAAAGGCUUCGGCCGCUAUUGGAUGAGCCCGCGUCAGAUUAGCUAGUUGGUAGGGUAAAGGCCUACCAAGGCAACGAUCUGUAGCUGGUCUGAGAGGACGAACAGCCACACUGGGACUGAGACACGGCCCAGACUCCUACGGGAGGCAGCAGUGGGGAAUAUUGGACAAUGGGCGAAAGCCUGAUCCAGCAAUGCCGCGUGUGUGAAGAAGGCCUGCGGGUUGUAAAGCACUUUCAGUUGGGAAGAUGAUGACGUUACCAACAGAAGAAGCACCGGCUAAAUCCGUGCCAGCAGCCGCGGUAAUACGGAUGGUGCGAGCGUUAAUCGGAAUUACUGGGCGUAAAGCGCGCGUAGGCGGCUAAGUCAGUCAGAAGUGAAAGCCCCGGGCUCAACCUGGGAAUUGCUUUUGAUACUGCUUGGCUAGAGUUUGGUAGAGGAUAGUGGAAUUCCAGGUGUAGCGGUGAAAUGCGUAGAUAUCUGGAGGAACAUCAGUGGCGAAGGCGACUGUCUGGACCAAAACUGACGCUGAGGUGCGAAAGCGUGGGUAGCAAACAGGAUUAGAUACCCUGGUAGAAGGGCGAAUUCUGCA
rnacentral:rRNA from 1 species